AUUGAACGCUGGCGGCAGGCCUAACACAUGCAAGUCGAACGACCGGCGGACGGGUGAGUAAUGUAUGGGGACUGCCCGAUAGAGGGGGAUAACUACUGGAAACGGUAGCUAAUCCCGCAUACUAUCGGAUAACCCAUAUUGGAUUAGCUAAUAGGUGGGGUAAAGGCUCACCUUGGCGACGAUCUCUAGCUGGUCUGAGAGGAUGAUCAGCCACACGGGGACGGAGACAGGGCCCAGACGCCUACGGAGGCAGCAGUGGGGAAUAUUGCACAAUGGGCGAAAGCCUGAUGCAGCCAUGCCGCGUGUAUGAAGAAGGCCUUAGGGUUGUAAAGUACUGUCAGCGGGGAGGCGUUACCCGCAGAAGAAGCACCGGCUAACUCCGUGCCAGCAGCCGCGGUAAUUC
rnacentral:rRNA from 1 species